GCGUCUUCUAGGUCCCCAGCUCAGGGAGCCAUCCCCAGCUCCAGUUUUCUCAUGCGAAUAUGCACAGUUUUAAUUCACGUUGUUACACUAGCCUGCCGAUGAGACCCAGACACAGGCCCAAAGAUGGACCCCCCCUGGCCUUGUGACAGCUCCCCAAGUGUUCUCCGGUGGAGAAACUGCAGAGGACUGGUGGGCGGGGCUCCCCAGCCAUCACCAUCCUGUGUACAAUGGCUGUAGACUUGUAUAUGGCUCCUUUAAUAUUGUAAAGAUGCUGAUGUACAA
rnacentral:lncRNA from 1 species